rnacentral:rRNA from 1 species
UACGUAGGGUGCAAGCGUUAUCCGGAAUUAUUGGGCGUAAAGAGCUCGUAGGCGGUUUGUCGCGUCUGCCGUGAAAGUCCGGGGCUCAACUCCGGAUCUGCGGUGGGUACGGGCAGGCUAGAGUGAUGUAGGGGAGACUGGAAUUCCUGGUGUAGCGGUGAAAUGCGCAGAUAUCAGGAGGAACACCGAUGGCGAAGGCAGGUCUCUGGGCAUUAACUGACGCUGAGGAGCGAAAGCAUGGGGAGCGAACAGG